UACAGAGACUGCAAGCGUUAUUCGGAUUCACUGGGCGUAAAGGGUGCGCAGGCGGCCGGGUGUGUCAGAUGUGAAAUCCCGAGGCUCAACCCUCGGAACUGCGUCUGAAACUACUCGGCUAGAGUACUGGAGAGGGUAACGGAAUUCACGGUGUAGCAGUGAAAUGCGUAGAUAUCGGGAGGAACACCUGUGGCGAAAGCGGCUCACUGGACCACAACUGA
rnacentral:rRNA from 1 species